AAAACCCACCCAUAACCAGGAUGGUCAUGAAUGACCUCUGGUUGCCCUCAUUGCUCAUUAUACACGAAUUAUAAUGCAUUAGCAUGCUAAGAGACACUCCCACC